AUUGUUCACGUGUUUCUUGGAAUUGCUAACAUGUUUUGAAAAAGAUGAUGUGAUAUUUUUAGGGAGAAAGAAUUCGGAGGGGAUGGCCUAAACCUCGAGAGGCUACUCUCGCCUUUCGAUCAUUCACUCUCUCGCUCUACAAAACACACUCUCCCCCCUCCUGAGGUCGGCCAGCGAGAGAGCUUUCUGAGUCUUCGAUUCUUCUUCAUCUGCGAAAGGUGGACUUUCGCAUUAGUAAUCAUUUAUUUCGCGAUGAUGGAGGAAACUAUUGCCUGUUAUUGACCAUCCUGCUAUUGCUUAUAUAGUAGAUAGUAGAUACAAGGAAAACUGUAUUCAUUAGUGCAUGGAACAGGUCAAAGCUAGGAUUGUGGAAUUGCGUUACUUUUUUUGUUGCGCUCAUGAAUAAGUUCCAUAUAUGGAAGAGAGAGACUAAAAGAGAGCUAGAAGAUAUGAAGAAUUUUUGUUUUAUUUUGGUUAAUUAAAGAUAUAAGGUGUCGAUCAUGCAUGUACUUCUUUAAAAUUUGUAUAUGUUUAAUUUUUGUAUAAAAUUUGCCAAUUGUAAGUUAUUUUAGUUAUGAUGUUAUUUUUUAUUUAUUUAGGGUUUGCUUC